AGUUGGCAGGGCAGCGGCCUACCAAGGCGACGAUCCAUAGCCGGCCUGAGAGGGUGAACGGCCACAUUGGGACUGAGACACGGCCCAGACUCCUACGGGAGGCAGCAGUGGGGAAUAUUGCACAAUGGAGGAAACUCUGAUGCAGCGACGCCGCGUGAGUGAAGAAGUAUUUCGGUAUGUAAAGCUCUAUCAGCAGGGAAGAUAAUGACGGUACCUGACUAAGAAGCCCCGGCUAACUACGUGCCAGCAGCCGCGGUAAUACGUAGGGGGCAAGCGUUAUCCGGAUUUACUGGGUGUAAAGGGAGCGUAGGUGGCAAGGCAAGUCUGAUGUGAAAUCCCGGGGCUCAACCCCGGUACUGCAUUGGAAACUGUCGGACUAGAGUGUCGGAGGGGUAAGUGGAAUUCCUAGUGUAGCGGUGAAAUGCGUAGAUAUUAGGAGGAACACCAGUGGCGAAGGCGGCUUACUGGACGGUAACUGACGUUGAGGCUCGAAAGCGUGGGGAGCAAACAGGAUUAGAUACCCUGGUAGUCCACGCCGUAAACGAUGAUUACUAGGUGUUGGAGGAUUGACCCCUUCAGUGCCGCAGUUAACACAAUAAGUAAUCCACCUGGGGAGUACGACCGCAAGGUUGAAACUCAAAGGAAUUGACGGGGGCCCGCACAAGCAGUGGAGUAUGUGGUUUAAUUCGAAGCAACGCGAAGAACCUUACCAGGUCUUGACAUCGUAUGCAUAGCUCAGAGAUGAGUGAAAUCUCUUCGGAGACAUAUAGACAGGUGGUGCAUGGUUGUCGUCAGCUCGUGUCGUGAGAUGUUGGGUUAAGUCCCGCAACGAGCGCAACCCUUAUGGUCAGUUACUACGCAAGAGGACUCUGGCCAGACUGCCGUUGACAAAACGGAGGAAGGUGGGGAUGACGUCAAAUCAUCAUGCCCUUUAUGACUUGGGCUACACACGUACUACAAUGGCGUUAAACAAAGAGAAGCAAGACCGCGAGGUGGAGCAAAACUCAGAAACAACGUCCCAGUUCGGACUGCAGGCUGCAACUCGCCUGCACGAAGUCGGAAUUGCUAGUAAUCGUGGAUCAGCAUGCCACGGUGAAUACGUUCCCGGGCCUUGUACACACCGCCCGUCACACCAUGAGAGCCGGGGGGACCCGAAGUCGGUAGUCUAACCGCAAGGAGGACGCCGCCGAAGGUAAAACUGGUGAUUGGGGUGAAGUCGUAACAAGGUAGCCGUAUCGGAAGGUGCGGCUG
rnacentral:rRNA from 1 species